rnacentral:rRNA from 1 species
CUCGGCAACGGAUAUCUCGGBUCUCGCAUCGAUGAAGAACGUAGCGAAAUGCGAUACUUGGUGUGAAUUGCAGAAUCCCGUGAACCAUCGAGUCUUUGAACGCAAGUUGCGCCCGACGCCAUUCGGCCGAGGGCACGUCUGCCUGGGUGUCACGC